GGGUACAGUGACCGACUUUCUGCCUUGUAAACCGCCAGGACCAUUGUUCAAAUGAGCAUGUAGUUGGCAACAAGAAAAUUAUAAAGAAACGCACCAUGCAUGAUGCAAAGAAAAUCUUUGAUUUCAAAUCACCUUACCUAAUUACCUUUCGCUUUCAUUAAAAAAGAAAAAUAUACAAAAAAAAAAAAUGUAAUCUUAGCCAUACUCUCCUCCCUUUACUCCUGGAAUC